GAUGAACGCUGGCGGCGUGCCUAAUACAUGCCAGUCGAGCGAACGGACGAGAAGCUUGCUUCUCUGAUGUUAGCGGCGGACGGGUGAGUAACACGUGGAUAACCUACCUAUAAGACUGGGAUAACUUCGGGAAACCGGAGCUAAUACCGGAUAAUAUUUUGAACCGCAUGGUUCAAAAGUAAAAGACGGUCUUGCUGUCACUUAUAGAUGGAUCCGCGCUGCAUUAGCUAGUUGGUAAGGUAACGGCUUACCAAGGCAACGAUGCAUAGCCGACCUGAGAGGGUGAUCGGCCACACUGGAACUGAGACACGGUCCAGACUACUACGGGAGGCAGCAGUAGGGAAUCUUCCGCAAUGGGCGAAAGCCUGACGGAGCAACGCCGCGUGAGUGAUGAAGGUCUUCGGAUCGUAAAACUCUGUUAUUAGGGAAGAACAUAUGUGUAAGUAACUGUGCACAUCUUGACGGUACCUAAUCAGAAAGCCACGGCUAACUACGUG
rnacentral:rRNA from 1 species